rnacentral:rRNA from 1 species
CUGGCGGCGUCUUAACACAUGCAAGUCGAACGAGGAUCUUCGGUGUAGCAAUACANUGUUGGUCCUAGUGGCGCACGGGUGAGUAACACGUGGGUGACCUGCCCUUGAGCUCGGGAUACCCCCUCGAAAGGGGGGCUAAUACCGGAUACGUUCCUCGGUCGAAAGACUGGGGAGGAAAGGUGGCGCAAGCUGCCGCUCUUGGAGGGGCUCGCGGCCUAUCAGCUAGUUGGCGGGGUAACGGCCCACCAAGGCUAUGACGGGUAGCUGGUCUGAGAGGACGACCAGCCACACGGGGACUGAGACACGGCCCCGACUCCUACGGUAGGCAGCAGUGGGGAAUUUUCCGCAAUGGGCGAAAGCCUGACGGAGUGACGCCGCGUGUGGGACGAAGGCCUUCGGGUCGUAAACCACUGUCAGUGGGAAAGAUGGGUGUCGAUGUUAAUACCAUCGGCAUCUGACGGUACCUGCAGAGGAAGCCCCGGCCAACUCUGUGCCAGCAGCCGCGGUAAGACAGAGGGGGCAAGCGUUGCUCGGAAUUACUGGGCGUAAAGGGCGCGUAGGCGGGAUGGUAAGUCGGUCGUGAAAUC